rnacentral:tRNA from 1 species
CUCUUCGAUGGGCGGGUAGCCGCAGUGGGCUAAGGCUUCAUUGCGCGCGUGCUCAUACACGUCGAAGAGA